CCUANGGGGGGCAGCAGUGGGGAAUUUUGGACAAUGGGCGCAAGCCUGAUCCAGCCAUGCCGCGUGCGGGAAGAAGGCCUUCGGGUUGUAAACCGCUUUUGUCAGGGAAGAAACGGUCUGCACUAAUACUGUGGACUAAUGACGGUACCUGAAGAAUAAGCACCGGCUAACUACGUGCCAGCAGCCGCGGUAAUACGUAGGGUGCGAGCGUUAAUCGGAAUUACUGGGCGUAAAGGGCAGGUAGGCGGCCUGACAAGUGGGGAGUGAAAUCCUGCGGCUUAAUCGCAGAACUGCUUUCCAAACUAUCGGGCUUGAGUGUGAGAGAGGAGAAUGGAACUCCUGGUGUAAGGGUGAAAUCUGUAGAGAUCAGGAGGAACACCAUUGGCGAAGGCGAUUCUCUGGAUCACAACUGACGCUGAACUGCGAAAGCUAGGGGAGAGAACAGGAUUAGAUACCCCUNUANUC
rnacentral:rRNA from 1 species